rnacentral:rRNA from 1 species
CGCAUCUGUGCAUGCAGCAUAUCAAUAAGCGGAGGAAAAGAAACUAACAAGGAUUCCCUCAGUAACGGCGAGUGAAGCGGGAAGAGCUCAAAUUUGAAAUCUUGAAAGGUCACCUUUCACGAAUUGUAGUUUAAAGAAGUGUUUUCUGUUACGAUCGUAAUAUAAGUUCUUUGGAAUAGGACAUCACAGAGGGUGAGAAUCCCGCUAUGAUUGACUAUUUGUAACUUUGUGAUACACUUUCAAAGAGUCGGAUUGUUUGGGAAUGCAGUCCCAAAACUGGGAGGUAAAUUUCAUUCUAAAGCUAAAUAUUGGCGAGAGACCGAUAGCGAACAAGUACCGUGAGGGAAAGAUGAAAGGAACUUUGAAAAGAGAGUUAAAUAGUACGUGAAAUUGUCAAAAGGGAAGCGUUUAACACCAGUGUUGUUUUCUGAAAAUCAACCUCUGUUAGCUUUAUGCAUGUUUGUUUAGACCUAAUCAGCUAUCUUGCAUGUUCUAUUGUUUGCAGUGGUGCACUUUUCAGUUUACAGGUCAACAUCAGUUUUUUUACCGUAAAAAAGUUAAAGAAAGGUAGCUCAUGGCUCCGGUCGUGAGUGUUAUAGUCUUUUUCCUAUGCGGUAGGAGAGACUGAGGUCUGCAGUGUAGGCUAUUUGGCUAGAUACUCAGGUGCUAUGUGAUACCAUUUCAUAAACAACUUGUUGAUUAUGUUUUGUCUAUUGCAUACUCGCUUGUACUAUCAUACCUACGCUUAGGAUGUUGAAGUCAUCGUAUCGCGC